AGAGUUUGAUCCUGGCUCAGGAUGAACGCUGGCGGCGUGCUUAACACAUGCAAGUCGAACGAACCUUCGGGUUAGUGGCGGACGGGUGAGUAACGCGUGAGAAUCUGCCCUCAGGAGGGGGAUAACAGUUGGAAACGACUGCUAAUACCCCAUAUGCCGAGAGGUAAAAUGAAUUUUGCCUGGGGAUGAGCUCGCGUCUGAUUAGCUUGUUGGUGGGGUAAAGGCCUACCAAGGCUUCGAUCAGUAGCUGGUCUGAGAGGACGAUCAGCCACACUGGGACUGAGACACGGCCCAGACUCCUACGGGAGGCAGCAGUGGGGAAUUUUCCGCAAUGGGCGCAAGCCUGACGGAGCAACGCCGCGUGAGGGAUGGAGGCCUUUGGGCUGUAAACCUCUUUUCUCAAGGAAGAAGAUCUGACGGUACUUGAGGAAUAAGCCACGGCUAAUUCCGUGCCAGCAGCCGCGGUAAUACGGGAGUGGCAAGCGUUAUCCGGAAUUAUUGGGCGUAAAGCGUCCGCAGGCGGCCGUUUAAGUCUGUUGUUAAAUCGUGGAGCUCAACUCCAUCACGGCAAUGGAAACUGUUCGGCUUGAGUAUGGUA
rnacentral:rRNA from 1 species